rnacentral:rRNA from 1 species
UGGGUAGUCCGCACGAGCGCACCUUACUUUUAGUUGCUACCAUUUAGUUGGGCACUCUAAAAGAACUGCCAGUGAUAAGCUGGAGGAAGGUGGGGAUGACGUCAAGUCCUCAUGGCCCUUACGUGUUGGGCUACACACGUGCUACAAUGGUAUUUACAAUGGGAAGCAAAGAGGCGACUCCAAGCAAAUCCCAAAAAGAUACCUCAGUUCGGAUUGUACUCUGCAACUCGAGUACAUGAAGCUGGAAUUACUAGUAAUCGUGGAUCAGCGUGCCACGGUGAAUACGUUCCCGGGUCUUGUACACACCGCCCGUCACACCAUGGGAGUUGGUUCUACCUUAAGGCAAAGUUUAAAACCUUUGACCACGGUAUAGUCAGCGACUGGGGUGAAGUCGUAACAAGGUAGCCGUAGGGGAACCUGCGGCUGGAUUACCUCCUUUCU